CCUACGGGAGGCAGCAGUGGGGAAUUUUGGACAAUGGGCGCAAGCCUGAUCCAGCCAUGCCGCGUGCAGGAUGAAGGCCUUCGGGUUGUAAACUGCUUUUGUACGGAACGAAAAGACUCCUUCUAAUAAAGGGGGUCCAUGACGGUACCGUAAGAAUAAGCACCGGCUAACUACGUGCCAGCAGCCGCGGUAAUACGUAGGGUGCGAGCGUUAAUCGGAAUUACUGGGCGUAAAGCGUGCGCAGGCGGUUAUAUAAGACAGAUGUGAAAUCCCCGGGCUCAACCUGGGAACUGCAUUUGUGACUGUAUAGCUAGAGUACGGUAGAGGGGGAUGGAAUUCCGCGUGUAGCAGUGAAAUGCGUAGAUAUGCGGAGGAACACCGAUGGCGAAGGCAAUCCCCUGGACCUGUACUGACGCUCAUGCACGAAAGCGUGGGGAGCAAACAGGAUUAGAUACCCUGGUAGUCCACGCCCUAAACGAUGUCAACUGGUUGUUGGGUCUUCACUGACUCAGUAACGAAGCUAACGCG
rnacentral:rRNA from 1 species